UACGUAGGGUGCAAGCGUUGUCCGGAUUUAUUGGGCGUAAAGAGCUCGUAGGCGGUCUGUCGCGUCGGAUGUGAAAACCCAGGGCUCAACCCUGGGCCUGCAUUCGAUACGGGCAGACUAGAGUAUUGCAGGGGAGACUGGAAUUCCUGGUGUAGCGGUGAAAUGCGCAGAUAUCAGGAGGAACACCGGUGGCGAAGGCGGGUCUCUGGGCAAUAACUGACGCUGAGGAGCGAAAGCGUGGGGAGCGAACAGG
rnacentral:rRNA from 1 species